rnacentral:miRNA from 1 species
GUGAUGUAGCCCCGUUUAAGAAGG